rnacentral:rRNA from 1 species
GAGUUUGAUCGUGGCUCAGGAUGAACGCUGGCGGCGUGCCUAAUACAUGCAAGUCGAGCGAACAGACGAGGAGCUUGCUCCUCUGACGUUAGCGGCGGACGGGUGAGUAACACGUGGAUAACCUACCUAUAAGACUGGGAUAACUUCGGGAAACCGGAGCUAAAUACCGAAUAAUAUAUUGAACCGCAUGGUUCAAUAGUGAAAAACGGUUUUGCUGUCACUUAUAGAUGGAUCCGCGCCGCAUUAGCUAGUUGGUAGGGUAACGGCUUACCAAGGCGACGAUGCGUAGCCGACCUGAGAGGGUGAUCGGCCACACUGGAACUGAGACACGGUCCAGACUCCUACGGGAGGCAGCAGUAGGGAAUCUUCCGCAAUGGGCGAAAGCCUGACGGAGCAACGCCGCGUGAGUGAUGAAGGUCUUCGGAUCGUAAAACUCUGUUAUUAGGGAAGAACAAAUGUGUAAGUAACUAUGCACGUCUUGACGGUACCUAAUCAGAAAGCCACGGCUAACUACGUGCCAGCCGCCG